CAGAUUAGAUCUUUGGCUGCAGGCAG
rnacentral:piRNA from 1 species